rnacentral:misc_RNA from 1 species
UCGCACGGUGGACGAGCAAACGCCAGUCGGAUCGUAAUAGUGAUGACGGACGGACAGUCAAUGAAUCACGCCAACACACAACGGGAAGCCACAGCCUUAAAAUCACAACCGAACAUGAAGGUGAUAGCCAUCGGGAUCGGGUCUGGAGUGAACACCCAAGAGUUGAACAGCAUCGCCAGUGAUCCCCAGCACGUGUUCACCGUGGCCAACUUUGACGUUCUGAACAAGCUAAACUCGGAACUGACCUUCACCUCUUGUCAAACUUGCGGUUUUAUCCAAACCGCCGAUAUAAUAUUCGCGGUGGAUUCCUCGGGUAGUGAGGGCCCCGUUAAUUUCCAGAAACAGCUGGACUUUGUUCAGACCUUCGUCAGGGACCUUCCCGUCGGCCCCAACAACGUUCAGUUCAGUGUGCUGUCCUUCGGUUCCACUGUACAGAACAACUUCUACCUGAACCAGUUCUCUGACAAGCGACCGAUAUUGGACGCCAUUCAGCAGACGGACAACGUCGGGGGGUCCACACAGACAGGAGAGGCGCUACAGUACAUCCGGGAACACAACAUCCUGUCAGCCAACGGGGCGCGUUCCAAUUCCUCUCUGUUCGUCAUCGUUCUGACCGACGGAGCGUCCACCGACAAGGCUGCGACCUUGACACAGGCCAAUCUGCUGAAGGCCAUGGGAGCAACUGUUGUAGCUGUCGGAGUCGGAUCUGGUGUGGACAAGGCCGAGCUGAACUCCAUCGCCUCGGACCCUAACCAUGUGUUCAACGCCCAGAACUUUGAUGCUCUGCAGACAUUGAAGGAAGAUGUAAAGAAAGCGGCUUGUGAUGGUAUCAACACGACCAUGGUGGCUGUUCCCUCUACAACUCCCAUUGUUCUAGACACCACCACCACCACUGAUGGGGAGAUUUAUGUCACGGACGCCGCCACCACUACAGAGGAGAUCGGUGUUAUUGGAUAGAUUGAGGGCUGUAAAAAAACGAUUAACAAUCUUUUUCUUCUUACAGAAUUCGACCAAAGCAAAUGACUUUAACUUCGAACAAAUUGUUAUCAACCGGCACUCUUUAGUCUAUCAAUUGUUCUUCGUUAAUAUUCUUUGAGCUGUUUCAUCAUUUAUUUGUUGCAUGAUUUAUUAAACUGUUCUUUAAAU